CGGACGUGGAUAACCUGCCUCACACAGGGGGAUAACAGUUAGAAGUGACUGCUAAUACCGCAUAAGCGCACGGCAUCGCAUGAUGCAGUGUGAAAAACUCCGGUGGUGUGAGAUGGAUCCGCGUCUGAUUAGGUAGUUGGUGGGGUAACGGCCUACCAAGCCGACGAUCAGUAGCCGACCUGAGAGGGUGACCGGCCACAUUGGGACUGAGACACGGCCCAA
rnacentral:rRNA from 1 species